rnacentral:tRNA from 1 species
GGACCCGUAGUGUAGCCUGGUUAACACGCCUCCUUGUCACGGAGGAAAUCACCGGUUCGAAUCCGGCCGGGUCCGCCA